CGCAAGCCUGACGGAGCAAGACCGCGUGGGGGAGGAAUGCCUUAGGGUUGUAAACCUCUUUUCUCAGGGAAGAAGCUCUGACGGUACCUGAGGAAUCAGCCUCGGCUAACUCCGUGCCAGCAGCCGCGGUAAUACGGAGGAGGCAAGCGUUAUCCGGAAUGAUUGGGCGUAAAGCGUCCGCAGGUGGCAAUGUAAGUCUGCUGUCAAAACCCAGGGCUCAACUCUGGUCAGGCAGUGGAAACUACAUAGCUAGAGUUCGGUAGGGGCAAAGGGAAUUCCCGGUGUAGCGGUGAAAUGCGUAGAGAUCGGGAAGAACAUCGGUGGCGAAAGCGCUCUACUGGACGGCAACUGACACUCAGGGACGAAAGCUAGGGGAGCG
rnacentral:rRNA from 1 species